rnacentral:lncRNA from 1 species
CAACAUAAUAAUCCAACUGCACUUAGAAAGAAGAAGUGAGUUGAUAAAAAAAAAGAGGAGAAAAAAAAAUAGGGGGAGAUCUCACUCAUAUGAUAGAAGUCACAACCUCCUUUUACCGGUUGCUAAAGCUCUACCCCUCAAUUCUAUCUAGAUCGGUGGGGGGAAGGAUCUCCUCGAAUUGUUCGUAGGCAACCUUCCAGUCCUCAAAAGAAGCAUCGGGGUGAAGUGAAGAUGGGAUGGGUUCUUGGUUGAUCAAGACCUCGACAGGAAUCAAAUUGGGUUGCUUAGCUAGGGGGGCAGAUCGACGACUGUCCCCGACUUAGGGGGCAGAAAGUGUGGU